rnacentral:rRNA from 1 species
UUGGUCAUUUAGAGGAAGUAAAAGUCGUAACAAGGUUUCCGUAGGUAACCUGCGGAAGGAUCAUUAAUGGGUUAACGCCUUCGGGCACAAUCCCCCCCUUUGUAACCGCGGCCCGGAUUCGGCGCCUGGCGGGGAGCCCCCUCUUUCGCGGAGGGCCCCGCCUGCCGGAAUUAGCCAACCCUGCCUAGAAAAUGAAGUCUGAGAACAAGUUAAAUUAAACAAAACUUUCAACAACGGAUCUCUGGUUCUGGCAACGAUGAAGAACGCAGCGAAAUGCGAUAAGUAAUGUGAUUGCAGAAUUCAGUGAAUCAUCGAAUCUUUGAACGCACAUUGCGCCCCCGGUAUUCCGGGGGGCACACCUGUUCGAGCGCCAUUUCUACCCUGGAGCCUGCUCUGUGAUGGGCCCCGUCCUCGCGGACGGGCCCGAAACCCGUGGGCCCGUCGUCCGGCCCUGAGCGUAGCAAGAGAAAUCCCUCGCUCGGAGUGUUGAUGGUGGCUGCCCCGACCCAUUUUUACAAGGUUGGCCUCGGAUCAGGGGGGAUACCCGCUGAACUUAAGCAUAUCAAUAAGCGGAGGAAAGGGACG